rnacentral:misc_RNA from 1 species
GAUGAAGAACGUAGCGAAAUGCGAUAAGUAGUGUGAAUUGCAGAAUUCAGUGAAUCAUCGAAACUUUGAACGCACAUUGCGCCCCAUGGUAUUCCGUGGGGCAUGCCUGUUCGAGCGUCAUUUACCCCCUCAAGCUCCGCUUGGUGUUGGGCGUCUGUCCCGCUUCGCGCGCGGACUCGCCCCAAAGGUAUUGGCAGCGGUCGUGCCAGCUUCUCGCGCAGCACAUUGCGCUUCUCGAGGCACCGGUGGGCCCGCGUCCAUCAAGCUCACCCCCCCAGUUUGACCUCGGAUCAGGUAGGGAUACCCGCUGAACUUAAGCAUAUCAAUAAGCGGAGGA